UAUGAAACUCAGGGCAACUUAUCUGAGGCUAUGAGAUAUUAUUGGGAAGCCAUCUUUU
rnacentral:sRNA from 1 species